rnacentral:rRNA from 1 species
GACGAACGCUGGCGGCGUGCCUAACACAUGCAAGUCGAACGGAAAGGCCCUGCUUUUGUGGGGUGCUCGAGUGGCGAACGGGGGAGUAACACGUGAGUAACCUGUACCUGACUGUGGGAGAUCUUCAGGAAACUGGGGCUAAUACCGGAUAGGAGCUAUUGCUGCAUGGUGGGCGAUGGAAAGAUUCGGCGGUUGGGGCUGGACUCGCGGCUUAUGAGCUUGGUGGGGGGGUAGUGGCUUACCAGGGUUUGGACGGGUAGCAGGCCUGAGAGGGGGGCCGGCCCCACUAGGCCUGAGAUACGCCGCAGUCGCCAAUGGGACGCAGGGGUGGAGAGUAUUACACAGUGGGCCGACGCCUGAUGUGACAACGCCGCGUGCGGGAUGACGGCCUUCGGGUUGUAAACCGAUUUCUCCUGUGCCGAGGCGUUAGUGACGGUACUGGGUAAAGAAGCACCGGCUAACUACGUG